AUCCCUCUUAUUGCAAUCAUAUGCAUUAUUAAAUUGAGAAACAGAAUCUUUCUAAAAUUCCAAAUGAAAAUACAUAGAAAUUCAUGGAAGCCACUUGAGGUUGGGAGUCAGUUUCAGCUUGACCUCUUUGAAAAAAAAAAAAAAGAACCACUGUACUUGCAUUUUAAAGCAAAACUACUUUCUCUUUUUCAAGAAAGGCAAAGGAAAAUUAUGUUCUGAUUCCAGACACCAUGGCGCUCUGUGAACUUAGCCUAUUAAUUUACUAUAAAUCUAAGCUAAAGCACAUACUUACUUUGGCAUCAUAAAAUGAAUCAUAGAUUUAAAUCAAGCAGAGAAACACACAAACAAACCUAAUCAGAGAAUUUGCAUUACCAAGUAAAAUUACUGAAUUUCUGAUAUAAACUGGGUUAACAGCCUGUUCAUCAUUAAAAUCAUGGACAGUCCUGCAUGGGUUGGGUUAAUAAUCCCAGUUGAUUUUAUUAUGUAAAGGUUAACAAUAGACAGACCAGUGCUAAUGCUUGUGUUUUAAAUCAUGUUCCAAAAAAAAAAAAAAAAAUCCUUAACAGUCUCAUGGCCACCAGAUACUUUUCCUUGCACAUGGAUAUCUGUUGAUGAUUUCACUAUGAAAAUUAGCUGUAGAAAUUUCUUACAAUACCCCAAAUUUGUAUCCUGAUGCUAGUUUUCUAAAAAGUCCCCUCAAAGUAUUAAUAUUUAUCUUUCUUAAAUCUCUCAGGAUCGGUAUUUGAAAGAAAGAACAUAAAACUGAUUAAGAAGGUCAAACUGCCCUUUGGAUCAGACAGUACUCUUUAGGGACUGUACCUACUCUUCUGUGACCUGGCAGAAGACAUACAAGUGAUAUCAGCAGGAUUUGAAAACUUCCACAAUGUGUGACCAUCCUGGAAAAGAAUCCAAACCUCUGUUCACUAGAAAUUUGUAAACUUGGUUUCCUGCUUCUGUAAGCUAGAGGCAUCGAUCUCAGGGGCUUUUGUGAAAAUUAAGUAAAAUAAUGUAUUUAAAAUUUGCAUAUACUGUUUUCAGUUGAAUAUUUUCUCAAUAAUAGAGUUCCCAUUCUCCUUGAUUUCAAUUCAAAUUAAGGUUGGGAAUUUCAAUAAAGUGAUACAUAGAUAGUAUAAGGUAGAAAUUGAUGAAAUGACAAAUAUCAAUAAGAGCCAUGGGAACCCUGAGAAGGCAGAAGUCACUGGGGAAUGUGAUGCUUAAUAUAUAAUGAGGCAUUACCUGACAUUUUGGUGGAGCUAAUGCUGA
rnacentral:lncRNA from 1 species